GAUGAACGCUGGCGGCGUGCUUAACACAUGCAAGUCGAACGAUGAAGCUCAGCUUGCUGGGUGGAUUAGUGGCGAACGGGUGAGUAACACGUGAGUAACCUGCCCUUAACUCUGGGAUAAGCCUGGGAAACUAGGUCUAAUACCGGAUAGGAGCGCCUACCGCAUGGUGGGUGCUGGAAAGAUUUAUCGGUUUUGGAUGGACUCGCGGCCUAUCAGCUUGUUGGUGAGGUAAUGGCUCACCAAGGCGACGACGGGUAGCCGGCCUGAGAGGGUGACCGGCCACACUGGGACCGAGACACGGCCCAGACUCCUACGGGAGGCAGCAGUGGGGAAUAUUGCACAAUGGGCGAAAGCCUGAUGCAGCGACGCCGCGUGAGGGAUGACGGCCUUCGGGUUGUAAACCUCUUUCAGUAGGGAAGAAGCGAAGGUGACGGUACCUGCAGAAGAAGCACCGGCUAACUACGUG
rnacentral:rRNA from 1 species